UACGUAGGGGGCAAGCGUUGUCCGGAAUCAUUGGGCGUAAAGAGCGUGUAGGCGGUUCGGUAAGUCGGCUGUGAAAGUCCAGGGCUCAACCCUGGGAUGCCGGUCGAUACUGCCGGACUAGAGUUCGGAAGAGGCGAGUGGAAUUCCCGGUGUAGCGGUGAAAUGCGCAGAUAUCGGGAGGAACACCUAUGGCGAAGGCAGCUCGCUGGGACGUUACUGACGCUGAGGCACGAAGGCCAGGGGAGCAAACGGG
rnacentral:rRNA from 1 species